rnacentral:lncRNA from 1 species
UCUCCUUAUCUUGCACACCGGUUUCCAAAGACGGGGGAUCAUUUUGUAGUGUCAGCAUUAAAACCUUCAUCGGGGGGUAUUUAUGAUAAGGAGCUGCCCCUGUAGCCAGUUCGAUAGCAGUGAUCCCAAAGCUCCAGAUGUCUGCCUUGAAAUCGUAUCCUCUGACCUGUUCCAUAACUUCUGGUGCCAUCCAGCAAGGUGUGCCUACAAAUGUUUUCCUGACUUUAUUUCUGGUAAUGUCACCACCAGUGGCCAAAAAAGCACUAACGCCAAAGUCUGCAAUUUGCACUGAGCCAUCUUCUCCAAGAAGAAUGUUUCCUGC